GCUCUAGUCUUGAUGAAUCAACUCCUUCCUUAAACUGGAUGGUAUAUAUUGUUGCUGAAGGUGAUGUCAAAUUGCAGAUUAAUUGGAUUUAGCCUUCUUACCUUCAAUCUACUAUCUGGUGCUUGAGACACUACAGGCUACUGUCAAGGCAGCUCCUCAACUAUUGCCAUCUGUGGAACCCAUUCUCUCUCCUAUCAUCCUUAAUGUGUGGGCUUCACAUGUUUCAUACCCUUUUGCCACCAUUGAUGCUCUUGAGGUUUUGGAGUUUUAGUAAUGUGAAUCUGGGUUGCGGUUUCUUCUUUGCCCACUUGGUUCUAACAUUGUUGUCCGAACAGCAAGCUGUUGUGUUGGUGUUGUUUUACCUGUUUAUUCUACAUUUAAGGCAAUUGAACGAAGGGAUCACGAGGAGCAAAAAAAAUGGCUUAUGUACUGGGCAGCUUAUGGAUGUUUUAGCAUGGUAGAAUUGUUCACAGAUAAGCUUCUUAACUGGUUUCCACUAUAUAUACUAUCAUACGAAGUUUGCAUUUCUUGUUUGGCUUCAACUUCCAUCUAUCGAUAAGUUGGUCAGGAAAUUUAUGCAUGGCUGCAGGGUGCAAAGCAAGUGUAUAAUUUCCUCUUGGACCAUCAGGCUAAGCUUGACUGAAUUGUUGGAUUUGUAUAUGGUGAAAUGGUAAAUAGUUUACACAUGCAUUUGUGAGGACCAAUUACCAAAUGUGGAGGAUGCAUGAUUCAGAUUCUGAGGAUAUAUGAUGAUUGAGUAAAGAGUUCUCAAUCAAACUAGUGGGAGGUCCAUGCACAGAUCAGAAGGGCCAGGAUCGGUGAGCCUUUCUUUCUUUAAUUUCUUUCAAUUUGUUUUAGCAGUUUGUUUACUUGAAUUGGCUAAUCACUAAUUCUAGUGGGCAGGAGAAAGUAAAGCCUGAGGUUACGUUGAAUAGAUUUUAUAGAUCCAAUCCUUACUUUCUAUCUAUAAAAGGUAACAGUAUUACUGUUAUCCACUUGAGUGUCUACCUGAUCUGAUCAAUCUCUUUGGGAUAUGAUUAAUGCUGCUCACUGCUUAUGAAGCUAGCAUCCUUAUUUAAAGUGAAAGAAGAUUGAUUAUUUAUAUAUAUGAAGAUCGACCACAAAGCGCCUUUAAUUUGGCGCCCUUU